rnacentral:rRNA from 1 species
CCUACGGGUGGCAGCAGUGAGGAAUAUUGGUCAAUGGGCGCAAGCCUGAACCAGCCAAGUCGCGUGAGGGAUGACGGUCCUAUGGAUUGUAAACCUCUUUUGUCGGGGAGCAAGGCCCGCCACGUGUGGCGGGAAGGAGAGUACCCGAAGGAAAAGCAUCGGCUAACUCCGUGCCAGCAGACGCGGUAAUAGGGAGGAUGCUAGCGUUAUAGGGAUUUAUUGGGUUAAAAGGGUGCGUAGGGGGAAGGUUAAGUCAGCGGUCAAAUGUCGGUGCUAAACACCGACCUGCCGUUGAAACUGGUCUUCUUGAGUGAGCGAGAGGUAUGCGGAAUGCGUGGUGUAGCGGUGAAAUGCAUAGAGAUCACGCAGAACUCCGAUUGCGAAGGCAGCAUACCGGCGCUCAACUGACGCUCAUGCACGAAAGUGUGGGUAGCGAACAGGAUUAGAUACCCCUGUAGUC